rnacentral:lncRNA from 1 species
AUUGUCACUGUGAUCCACCGGCCGGCCGACCUACCUGAAACAAAAGCCAAGAGACAACAGAGAAAUCACUCAUUUGAAGGCUAGAGGUAAACGCUUCGUCAAAUCUAUUUAGAUUUAUCGAUUUUGCAAUCUCUAUCUUCACUCGCAAAUCCUCUCCAAUCUAUAACAACGUGUUUGCUCAAAGUCAGUACAACCCCUAGGGCUUUGAUCGAUUUGUAAGGCUCUGUAGUAAAGUUGUCAGGGAAUCAAUGGUUGUGAACUGUCGGAUUCUCACGAUGAUGUCGAGAAUUUUCUGAAGGAGCUGACAUGAGUAUGAGCAGUCGAUAGAUUCCUCGCUCUCUCUGCAGAUCACCAAUUCCUCUGGCCCAGAUGCGAUCGAGUUUUGGGAUGCGACAUUGACUGAAUCUCUAGGUCAGCAUGUUCAUUUUCCGGACGCUUGAUGUCCAGAUGCCGUUGGUGAGAGGAUCCCGUGGCUUCCUGUCCCGAAUUGUGUCGAGAUUUCUUGUGGAUGGUCCCUGACCUCUGCCCGUCCAUCUGGAUUGCAAUCAGGACAUUUCCCGAUCAGAUCUCGAGAUUUCAAAAGAUCGCG